rnacentral:rRNA from 1 species
GACUCUCGGCAACGGAUAUCUCGGCUCUCGCAUCGAUGAAGAACGUAGCGAAAUGCGCUCCUUGGUGUGCCUUGCCGCCUCCCGUGAACCAUCGAGUCUUUGAACGCAAGGCGCCCGCCGCCGUUCGGCCGCGGGCACGUCUGCCUGGGCGUCA